UGGGGAAUAUUGGGCAAUGGGGGAAACCCUGACCCAGCAACGCCGCGUGAGGGAAGAAGGUUUUCGGAUUGUAAACCUCUGUUCUUGGGGAAGAGAAGAAGACGGUACCCAAGGAGGAAGCCCCGGCUAACUACGUGCCAGCAGCCGCGGUAAUACGUAGGGGGCAAGCGUUGUCCGGAAUGAUUGAGCGUAAAGGGCGCGCAGGCGGCCUAUCAAGUCAGUAGUGGAAGUCCAGCUUUCAAGGUUGGAAGUGCUAUUGAAACUGAAUGGCUUGAGUGCAGGAGAGGUUAUCGGAAUUCCCGGUGUAGCGGUGAAAUGCGUAGAGAUCGGGAGGAACACCAGUGGCGAAGGCGGGUAACUGGACUGCAACUGACGCUGAGGCGCGAAAGUGUGGGGAGCAAACAG
rnacentral:rRNA from 1 species